rnacentral:ncRNA from 2 species
UUAGCUCACUGGGGGUGCUUUUUUUUUAAAAAAGCUGAGAGAAGUUGAAACUUCAACCCUUGGAACCUGAUGCGGUUAGUACCGGCGUAGGGAAAGUGUAUGAAACAACAC